CAGGCCGUGGGACAGCUGUGGCCUGGGGACACCCUGAGCCUGGAGCUGGUCGGGGACACGGUUGGGGACAGCGCCGGGGACGCGGGCGGGUGGCAGCUGGAGCAGGAGGAGCGCGAGGGGAACUUCGUGGGGCUGCUGCGGAUCGCGGGAGGGUGACACCGGGUGGUGGCACCGGGUGGUGGCACCGGGUGGUGACACCGGGUGGUGGCAUCGGGUGGUGGCACCGGGUGGUGACGCCGGGGUGGCGAGGGGGUGGCGAGGGGGUGGCCGGCCUCGUGUCCUGCCGGUCACCUGCCGGGGUGGGGCUUGGGGACAUCUGGGAGUCCCGAGUGUGGAGGUUUGGGGACAUCAGGGGACAUCGGUGACAUCCAGACCCAGAGAUUUGGGGACAUCAGGGGACAUCGGUGACAUCCAGACCUGAAGGUUUGGGGACAUCGAGGGACGUCGGUGACGUCCAGCCCCGAAGGUUUGGGGACAAGGGACAUCGGUGACAUCCAAGGCUGGAGAUUUGAGUGACAACAUCUCGGUGUCCAGAGAUUUGGGGACAUCAGGUGACAUCGGUGACCUCCACACCCAGAAAUUGGGGACAUCAAGGGACAUUGGCGACAUCCAGACCCAGAGAUUUGGGGACAUCAGGGGACAUCGGUGACAUCCAAGGCUGGAGAUCUGGGUGACAGAACCUUGUCCCCAGAGAUUGGGGACAUCGAGUGACAUCACUGACCCCUCCCCCAUUUGGUGCUUGGGGACAUUUGGGGACCUCAUGGACCCGGUGCUGGACACUUGGGGACAUUUGGGGACAUUUGGGGACCCAGUGCUGGACACUUGGGACCUCCUUGGGGACCUUGGGGACACUUUUGGGAGGGAGGUCCCUGCUGUCCUUAAUUAUUCUUUUUCUUCAUUAAUUAUUUAUUAAUGAUUCUCCUUAAUUAAUUAUUUAUUAAUUAAUGAAUAAAUUUAUUUAUGGAUUCUUUUUACCGCCUGGAUUGUCCCCAAAAAUCGGGGGUGACAACCCUGGGGUGGCACUGAGGGGACAUCGGGGGGUCCCCACCUGCAAACCCUCCCCCAAAUUUAACCCCAGAACCCCCAAAAAUUUGCCCCAGAAACUCCAAAAUUUGCUGAAAAUCCCCCCAAAUUUGCCCCAAACCCCCAAAUUUAUCCCCAGAACCCCCCAAAAUUUGCUGAAGAUCCCCCAAAAUUUGUCUUGGAGUCCCCCAAAUUUAACCCCAGAAGCCCCAGAUUUGCCCCAGGGUGUGGGGACUCAAAACUCUGCACCCCAAAUUCUGCACCCCAAAAUCAGCACCCCAAACCCUGCACCCCAAAUUCUGCACCCCACAUUUCACACUCCAA
rnacentral:lncRNA from 1 species